rnacentral:rRNA from 1 species
UACAGAGGGGGCAAGCGUUGUUCGGAAUUACUGGGCGUAAAGGGCGCGUAGGUGGCCUUCUAAGUUGAACGUGAAAUCCCUGGGCUCAACCCAGGAACUGCGUCCAAGACUGGGAGGCUUGAAUCCGGGAGAGGGAUGCGGAAUUCCAGGUGUAGCGGUGAGAUGCGUAGAUAUCUGGAGGAACACCGGUGGCGAAGGCGGCAUCCUGGACCGGUAUUGACACUGAGGCGCGAAAGCCAGGGGAGCAAACGGG